rnacentral:tRNA from 1 species
CCGCCCUUAGCUCAGCUGGAUAGAGCGGCCCCCUCCUAAGGGGCAGGCCAGAGGUUCGAAUCCUCUAGGGCGGA